rnacentral:rRNA from 1 species
UACGUAGGAGGCAAGCGUUGUCCGGAAUUACUGGGCGUAAAGCGCGUGUAGGUGGUGGGACAAGUCUGCUGUGAAAGCGCCUGGCUUAACCGGGCGAGGUCGGCGGAAACUGUCCGACUCGAGGACGGUAGAGGGGGGGGUGGAAUUCCCGGUGUAGUGGUGAAAUGCGUAGAGAUCGGGAGGAACACCUGUGGCGAAGGCGGCCCCCCUGGGCCGGCCCUGACACUGAGACGCGAAGGCGUGGGGAGCGAACGGG